UGUGUUUCUAAUAACAGCAGAUAAUAACCAGAAUGGGAGUGAGUGACUUGUGGCAAAUUUUGGAGCCCGUUAAGCAACACAUCCACUUGAGUAGUCUUGGUGGGAAAACCAUUGCAGUUGAUCUGAGCCUCUGGGUAUGUGAAUCACAGACAGUCAAAAAAAUGAUUGGAACUGUCACGAAGCCCCACCUCAGGAACUUGUUUUUUCGUAUCUCACAUUUAACACUAAUGGAUGUAAAACUGGUAUUUGUUAUGGAAGGGGAACCCCCAAAGCUGAAAGCUGAUGUCAUAAACAAGAGGAAUCAAAUUCGGUAUGGGCCUUCUGGAAAAACAUGGUCUCAGAAAACAGGGAGAUCACAUUUUAAAUCAGUGUUAAGAGAGUGUCUUGAAUUGCUGGAAUGCUUAGGAAUUCCCUGGGUCCAAGCUGCUGGGGAAGCAGAAGCCAUGUGCUCUUACCUCGAUGCCAGUGGUUAUGUGGACGGCUGCCUCACCAAUGAUGGGGAUGCUUUCCUUUAUGGGGCCCGGACUGUUUAUAGGAAUUUCACUAUGAAUACCAAGGACCCCCAUGUUGACUGUUACACAGCGUCAUCUAUCAAGAGUAAACUAGGUUUGGAUAGAGAUGCUCUAGUUGGACUGGCAGUACUGCUUGGCUGUGAUUAUCUUCCAAAGGGCGUCCCUGGAGUUGGAAAAGAGCAAGCAUUAAAACUUAUACAGAUUUUGAAAGGGCAAAGUUUACUUCAGAGGUUUAUUCAGUGGAGUGAAGAAAAACCUUGUAACUCUAAUCAACAACCACUAGUUAUUAAAAAACUGGCUCAUUGCUCUGUGUGUUCCCAUCCAGGUUCACCUAAGGAUCAUGAACAUAAUGGAUGCAAAUUAUGUCAAACUGAUCGAUAUUGUGAACCACAUGAUUAUGAAUACUGUUGUUCCUGUGAGUGGCACCGAACAGAGCAGGACAGGCAACUGAUGACAAUAGAGAACAAUAUUAAGAAAAAAGCUUGCAGUUGUGAAGGAUUCCCAUUCCAUGAGGUUAUUCAAGAAUUCCUUUUGAACAAGGAUAAAUUGGUAAAGGCAGUCAGGUACCAAAGACCUGAUUUAUUAUUGUUUCAGAGAUUUACUCUUGAAAAAAUGGAUUGGCCCAAUCACUAUGCAUGUGAGAAAUUGUUGGUACUUUUGACCCACUAUGACAUGAUAGAAAGAAAACUUGGUAGAAGACACUCUAAUCAACUACAGCCAAUUCGAAUUGUUAAAAACCGGAUCAGAAAUGGAGUUCAUUGCUUUGAAAUAGAGUGGGAAAAGCCUGAACAUUAUGCUAUAGAAGAUAACCAUGGAGAAUUAGUUCUACAAACAAUAGAAGAAGAAUCAUUAUUUGAAGCAGCUUUUCCAGAGAUUGUUGCUGUUUACCACAAACAACAGUUAGAAAUUAAAGAGAAGAAAAAGAAAAGCAUGAAAACUAAGCCUAAAGAAAAUAAUUUGCCACAAACAGAUGAGAUGAGUUUUCAGUCACUCAUACCUUUAAAACCCACAUGUGAAAUCUCUUCUAAACAGAAUUCCCAGUUAAAUUUGGAAAUUUUUCCUGAUUCGGCAUUACCCCAGGAAUCUAUUUCUGCGUCAUUGAAGAGCUUGCUUUUAUCUGAAGAUGCUCUCUGUAUGAAUACUCAAGAACAGUUAAUGUCUUCUUCAAAACCUUUGGCUUCACAGCAAAUUACAGCUGUCAGUAAAUCUCCAAUUUCAGAAUCUAGUCAACCAAAUAUCUCAUCCGAUAAUGUGUCGACGAUUGCUGAUCUACACUUGAGCAGCAUUGAUUGGGAGGGAACUUCUUUUAGUAAUUCUCCAGCUAUUCCAAGGAAUACUUGCUCUCAAGGCUUAAAAUCAGGACUUGAAACAGCCAUCCCUCAUAGCUAUAAACAUAUCCCAGGACAGUUGUCAUGUGACUCAGAAUGGUGCACCACAAAUAAAGUGUUCAGUUGGGAUCUUCAAAAGACUAAUCCUGAAGAGCAUCUACUUUCUGGCAUUACUGACUUACAUAGUCAGGAUCUGCCUUUAAAGGAACGAAUACUUAUAAAAUCAUUACAUCCUCUGGGUAACGUACAGUCAGACCUGAAAACUUUAUCUGGACGCACAGUAAAAGAAUCUUGUAAGGCUAGCAGUAGUUCUGAUUGUCCAUCACAUCUUUCAGAGGAUCUAGGAAUUUAUUUGCAAAAGGAAUCUAGGAACUCUAAAGUUCUAAAAGGAGACCAGCUGUUUCCAGAAAACUAUAAAGUGAAUACUUCUAUACCCUAUUCUGUCAAAAACAUGAUAGUAAAGGCCUCUGAUGCUAGAGUCGAGCCACCAAAUACUUCUUUAGAUCAUAGUAGAAAUGUUGACUUGCAAACCACUCAGAAAAUUAUAAUGAAGAAAAGUGUUUGCCUUGACAGAUAUUCCUCUGAUGAAGAAAGUGCCCCAGUGUUUGGGAAAGCUAUGAAUGCAACUGAGAAAAUGAAGCAGAGUUUUCAGAAGCACAAACCAGCCCAAUUCAAGAAAAAUGAUGCUAACAAAUUGAGUAACCCUAAGAUACAUAUUAAAGAAACGGAACAGUAUGUCCAGACUUCUAAAACAGCUGUAAAUGAAGAAAACUGUUUCGCAGAUACAGCCAAAGUUUCUCUGAGUUCCCUACAGUGUCAUAAGGAAAAAGAUGACUCUGAUAUCCACCUUCCUGCUGUGAGUGAAGUCUCAAAGUGCUGUCCUUUGAAAAUGAAAAUGAGUGAUUUAUUCAACGUUCAUGUAAAGAUCCAUCCAUGCUGUUGCAAAAGAAAAUACUGACAACCAUAAAGAAUAAGAGCAGCUACUAAUGACUGAAUGCUUACUAUGUCUGAAGACAGUUAUCGAGAAAUUUCUUUACAUGUAUGAAUCUUCACAAGAAUCCUGUCAGGUGAAGACGAGGCCUACCAUACCAAAUUAUAUGGAGGAUGACAUGAGAUCCUGUAUACAAGGCUCUCAUUUCUGGCACCUAGCACAGAGGAAGUGCUGCCUUUUUGUUUAGAGCCGUUUUAGCUGGAAGAUGCUAAUUAUCAAUGAGGAGAAAGUGACACCUGAGGAGUUCAUCUUCCAUCUUGGUCCUCGCUCUCUCCUUUGAACUCCCUCUCCGGCCUCUUUCCCACUUCAUCACUCGUCCCCCAGCAUCAUAAAAGCCAGCUCUGCCCAGGCGGGCGCAGAAC